rnacentral:tRNA from 1 species
CCCCUGAGCUUUAGCUUGUUCCGAACUUGCUUCGGAACAAGCGAAUGAAUCAGAGGUUUCCUAAACCGUUGGUCGCAUGUUCGAUUCAUGCCGGGGGCG